rnacentral:lncRNA from 1 species
GCUUACGGCUUCGCUCUCUCUCUCGCUCUGUCUCUAUCUCUCUCUCUGCUGAGCGAGGGACUCUGAUGGGUUAGUAGUGGAGGUUCUUAGCCUAUGGGAGUAGAUGCAGAGAGAGCUGUUACAGAGGGAGUUGCACUCUCUCUCGCUCUCUCGCUCUCUCACUCACUCACACUCUAUUUCACUCACUCUCUCACGCACUGUCUCUCUCGCUCUUGCUCUCUAGCUCUAUCGCUCUCUCACCGUGUUCAUCUCUUGGGAGAAGCUACCAGCUAGUUCCUGGAUUGUACUUCCCACCUGGAGAGAAGCAUCGAGCAGCGCACGGAUCUGUCACUAUGAGGGAGGGUUUUUCUCUCUUGUUUCAGACGUUUUGUUGUUGCUGUGUGCUGUUGUUUGCUCUGAGACCAU